GCCCCGGUGGCGGAACUGGCAGACGCGCCCGGCUCAAACCCGGGUUCCGCAAGGAGUGCGGGUUCGAGUCCCGCCCGGGGCA
rnacentral:tRNA from 2 species